GGCUUCGUGGUGCAGUGGUUAGCACACUCGGCUCAUAACUGAGAGAGCCUGGGUUCGAUUCCCAGGCGGAGUUG